rnacentral:lncRNA from 7 species
GGAAGAGGAACACCGGCAUGAUCUCCUGUAAAGCUUCAGUCACUUCUCCGAGCCUGGUGUGCCAAGCAGGGAAGCUUGGAAGGUUACGGAGGAUGUCCUAGCCGACUCCACAGCUGGGCUUGCAGCACCAGAGAAGAAAAUGAAAGGGAUAAGUGCUGGCAGCCCUGGAAAUACCCAUGUGGGAUGCAUCCCACCAGCAACAGAACCCCUGAGGAAGGUGUCAGGGCUGAGAGGGGCAUUUCUACAGAUAUCUUAGAACGCUGUGAAGUCCAUAAGUGCUUCAGGCUGCAUUAACAUGUGUUCAUCAUCCUGGGCUGUGUCCUGCAACUGGAAUCCCUCAUCACUGAGCAUCUCAGGUUGUCUCCUCAAGAGUCCUCAAGUUCCUUCUUGUCCAGCAGGUGGGCAAGAGUGUGUCAAGCUCCAGAUCUGAGAAAUCUGGGAGUGUUGGAGGGAUCUCAAGAAGAUAAAAAUACCAACUUGCCACCAAAUGCAACAAUACAGCUCUUCAGCAUUGCCUGGAUGAUGAGUGAACAGAAAUCCCUGCAGCCCUAAAUGCUCCCACCUGAUCAGUCCCCCAGAAGCUGCCUUUGCCUUCAGAACCUGAUGAAAGGGGACUUGAAGAGCUGGAUAUCUGUAUUUUUAGGGCAGCUUUUCAUGAGCCUACCGGCUCUUACCUCCUAGGCCAGCCUGUGGCAGAGAGAUCUCCUUCUGAGCUGUGGCCCUAAGGUAGCAGCUCCUCUGCUCUGCACCAGCACUGAGCCUCUGGGUUUUUUCCUGGUAGGAUGGGAGAGCCUAAAGCAGUUGUGUUAGAUCCUGCUGCCCAUCUGAUUGUAGAUAAAAGAAAAAAAAAACAGAAGAUAAAUGAGAAAAUGAGGAGAGCCAUCAUACUGCUUGGGUAGAGCUGGUAAAACCUCACUCCAGGAUAUUUGUUAAGGUCAGUGGAAUUUAAGCACUUUCUUGGAAAUUUGUGUAAGCGGUUCUGUGAGCAAAAGCUCCGGAGCAGGCUUGGGCAAGGCCUGGCAGGGCAAACGUGACUGCAGGCAGAAGCACUCUCUCUUUCCCUGGGAUGCAAACUCGCUAACCUCUGUGGGAUGGUGGGGACAACAUGAGGAAUGAGCACAUGGAUUGCAUAACACGCUAUGUCAGAAACUAGGCUUGAUGCUGAGCCAAUGUAAAUUUAAACCAAGUGCUACAUUAGGUCAGAUCAAAAGUCCACCUUGUUCAUUCUCCUGACUUUGACAACAACUACAAGCGUUGAGUUCAGGGGUACAGCAUAAAAGUCGGACCUUUGCAGAAUGAUCUUUCCCCACUAUGGGCCCCUAGCCUCAGAUGUGUCCGAAGACGGAGUUUUGGCUGGACCAUUGUGUUUAGCAGUGAGAGCCUUCUCCAGAAGCUCUCCUAGAGCCUUGUUGGAGCCAUGUGGGUAUGUUCUUCCCACACUGAGCUCCGCAGGGUGGUCAUGGGGCGGCCACGCGCAACGUGAAAGGAAUAGCGCUACCAAAUGGAUAGAGGGGCCUCAUGAAGGUGUGCCGCACAAAAUCCGGCCCCUGCCUUCCACUCACGCUUCUCAGCACUCACGCAGCGGAAGACUAAACACUGUUCUGUGCUUCUGGAGGAGUCCUGCAGACGGAGCAUACAGAAGGAGCUGAAGAAGCCCAAGUUUGAAAGAAGUUGCCGGUCAUUACCGCGCGAGGGAUGCCUCCACGGGAAUUCCACAAAGUGAUGUUAAUUGUGAUGCUUUGAAAAUGUUGUGUAAACAAGUGUUUCUG